rnacentral:rRNA from 1 species
AUGCACGCUGGCGGCGUGCCUAAUACCUGCAAGUCGAGCGCACAGAUAAGGAGCUUGCUCCUUUGACGUUAGCGGCGGACGGGUGAGUAACACGUGGGUAACCUACCUAUAAGACUGGGAUAACUUCGGGAAACCGGAGCUAAUACCGGAUAACAUUUGGAACCGCAUGGUUCUAAAGUGAAAGAUGGUUUUGCUAUCACUUAUAGAUGGACCCGCGCCGUAUUAGCUAGUUGGUAAGGUAACGGCUUACCAAGGCAACGAUACGUAGCCGACCUGAGAGGGUGAUCGGCCACACUGGAACUGAGACACGGUCCAGACUCCUACGGGAGGCAGCAGUAGGGAAUCUUCCGCAAUGGGCGAAAGCCUGACGGAGCAACGCCGCGUGAGUGAUGAAGGGUUUCGGCUCGUAAAACUCUGUUAUUAGGGAAGAACAAACGUGUAAGUAACUGUGCACGUCUUGACGGUACCUAAUCAGAAAGCCACGGCUAACUACGUG